GCCAGCAAGUAUGGUGUUACCCUCUGAAUAAGCGAUCUAGAGGCCAUCCCUUUGUGCUCUCCUCUCAAGUUUUGAUCUUUAUCAGCCUAAAAAUCCCUGUGCUGAGAUGAAAGGGUGUAGCAGCCGACGAAGAUCAGAGACGGAUAACAGAGCUGCGAUGCGGCAUGGAGAGAGAGAAGAGGAAGCGGCGCCGAGCGAGAAGGAGGAGUCGGGGCCGCGCGUGAAGGCUGCGAUGGAGACUUGCG
rnacentral:misc_RNA from 1 species